AUGCAAGUCGAACGCGCAGUUUGGUGUAGCAAUACACGAGAUGGGCGCGUGGCGAACGGGUGCGUAACACGUGGAUAACCUUCCUUCAGGUGGGGAAUAACCCAGCGAAAGUUGGGCUAAUACCGCAUAACAUGACGGCGGCACAUGCUGCUGUUCUCAAAGCCGCAAGGCGCCAGAAGAGGGAUCCGCGGCCGAUUAGCUAGUUGGCGAAGUAACGGCUCACCAAGGCAAAGAUCGGUAGCCGGUCUGAGAGGAUGAUCGGCCACACUGGAACUGAGACACGGUCCAGACUCCUACGGGAGGCAGCAGUGGGGAAUCUUGCGCAAUGGGCGAAAGCCUGACGCAGCAACGCCGCGUGGGGGAUGAAGCUUCUCGGAGUGUAAACCCCUUUCGACCCGGACGAAUGCCCGCAGGGGCUUGACCGUACGGGUAUAAGAAGCCCGGCUAACUACGUG
rnacentral:rRNA from 1 species